rnacentral:misc_RNA from 1 species
AAGUCGUAACAAGGUUUCCGUAGGUGAACCUGCGGAAGGAUCAUUAACACGUAUCCAACGUUAAAAACCCCGUGAACCUUUAAAACGCUGUGUCCCAGGACUAAAUCCAGUGGCCUUAGCAAUCCCUGUACUCGUGGGAGAAAUGUAAUGAGAAGGGACUUCUGAGGUUGGCUUUCUGGUUUCAGACCGCGUCGUAGUGACUUUUUUUCCCCAAGCAAUCCGUGAGUGAAAGUGUCAUUGGUUGCGUAAGGAUUUCGCCUAGCGAUCACUGGAGGUCGAUCACCGACCGGUGGACUAAGUCACAGGGCUUCGGCUCCCUAAUAACCCCCAUUCAAUUUGCCGCUCCGCGCUAACAACGCCGGGCACUUAAAAACGUACUAAACAACUGUUAACAAUGGAUAUCUUGGUUCUC